rnacentral:rRNA from 1 species
AACGAACGCUGGCGGCGUGGCUAAGGCAUGCAAGUCGAACGGUCAGGGCUAGAAACUAGACACUAGAAACUAGAGACUAGAACGGAUGACUCAUCCGUUUCUAGUUUCCAGUGAGGGCGCAGCCCGAUCUAGUCUCCAGUUUCUAGUCCUGAUAGUGGCGAACGGGUGAGGAAUACAUGGAUAACGUACCCUAGACUCAGGGAUAGCGGCGGGG